rnacentral:rRNA from 1 species
UGGGGAAUCUUGGACAAUGGGCGCAAGCCUGAUCCAGCCAUGCCGCGUGAGUGAUGAAGGCCUUAGGGUUGUAAAGCUCUUUUUGCCGGGGACGAUAAUGACGGUACCCGGAGAAUAAGUCCCGGCUAACUUCGUGCCAGCAGCCGCGGUAAUACGAAGGGGACUAGCGUUGUUCGGAAUCACUGGGCGUAAAGCGCACGUAGGCGGAUUUGUAAGUCAGGGGUGAAAUCCCGGGGCUCAACCUCGGAACUGCCUUUGAUACUGCGGAUCUCGAGUCCGAUAGAGGUGAGUGGAAUUCCUAGUGUAGAGGUGAAAUUCGUAGAUAUUAGGAAGAACACCAGUGGCGAAGGCGGCUCACUGGUCCGGUACUGACGCUGAGGUGCGAAAGCGUGGGGAGCAAACAGGAUUAGAUACCCACGUAGUCCCUGAGCGGGCUGGCAAGGCGCAU